rnacentral:misc_RNA from 1 species
AACCAUAGAAACCUGCGGAGUACCUGCGGAAGGAUCAUUAUCGAGUUGCAAAACUCCAACCCUUUGUGAACAUACCUCAGUCGUUGCUUCGGCGGUGGACGGCCUUUUUUCGAAAAGGCCCGAAGCCGCCGGAGGUUCCAAACUCGUGUUUUGUUUAGUGUAUCUCUGAGCCUGAAAACAAAUAAUCAAAACUUUUAACAACGGAUCU